rnacentral:rRNA from 1 species
CCUACGUGGAGCAGCAGUGGGGGAUAUUGCACAAUGGGGGGAACCCUGAUGCAGCGACGCCGCGUGGGUGAAGGAGUGCUUCGGCAGGUAAAGCCCUAUCGGCAGGGAAGAAGCAAGACGGUACCUGACGAAGAAGCCCCGGCUAACGACGUGCCAGCAGCCGCGGUAAGACGUAGGGGGCGAGCGUGAUCCGGAUCCACGGGGUGUAAAGGGAGCGAAGACGGCCAUGCAAGCCAGGGGUGAAAGCCCGGGGCCCAACCCCGGGACUGCCCUUGUAACUGCAUGGCUGGAGUGCGGGAGGCGCAGGCGGAAUUCCUGGUGUAGCGGUGAAAUGCGUAGAUAUCAGGAGGAACCCCGGCGGCGAAGGCGGCCUGCUGGACCGCGACUGACGUUGAGGCUCGAAAGCGUGGGGAGCGAACAGGAUUAGAUACCCGUGUAGUC